AUAUAUAUAUUUAUUUUUGUAUAUAAUAUUACAUUGAGAAUAUUGUAAUUGGUAAGAUAUAUUUUCUGUAGCCCUAUCAGAAAAUGAAGAAGUACACUCUCAUGCAUUACGGGCAGUUUGAUAUCGAGGCUCAUACCGACCGUUCCUAGAGUAAGUGACAAAGGGCUUGAUGGUUGGUACCCGAGACCUAAAUUCGAAUUCUAGUUAAUUCACAUUUCUAACUAAGUUUCUUUCUAAAUAAAAUAAAUGAAGCGGGUAGCGUGCUAUCUAUUUCUCUCAAAAAAAAAAAGAUAUCGAGGCUCAUUUAAUGCGAAUUGAUAAAAUGAAAUUAGGACAAGAGCACGUACGUUUUUGCAUUCUCAGUAGAAUCACAAAACAUAUAUCAUAACUAACUCAUUGCGAUAGACGGAACGUGAUAUUAUGUACAGAAAUAACAAGAUAAAUGUAUUUUUUUUCACAAUCUUAAACAAAGUUAUAGAUAACUCU
rnacentral:lncRNA from 1 species